UACGUAGGGUGCAAGCGUUAAUCGGAAUUACUGGGCGUAAAGCGUGCGCAGGCGGUUGUGUAAGACAGAUGUGAAAUCCCCGGGCUCAACCUGGGAAUGGCGAUGGUGACUGCAAGGCUAGAGUUUGGCAGAGGGGGGUAGAAUUCCACGUGUAGCAGUGAAAUGCGUAGAUAUGUGGAGGAACACCGAUGGCGAAGGCAGCCCCCUGGGUCAAAACUGACGCUCAUGCACGAAAGCGUGGGGAGCAAACAGG
rnacentral:rRNA from 1 species